rnacentral:rRNA from 1 species
UACGUAGGGUGCCAGCGUUGUCCGGAAUUAUUGGGCGUAAAGCGCUCGUAGGCGGUCUGUCGCGUCGGCUGUGAAAUCCCGGAGCUCAACUCCGGGUCUGCAGUCGAUACGGGCAAACUGGAGUACUGCAGGGGAGACUGGAAUUCCUGGUGUAGCGGUGAAAUGCGCAGAUAUCAGGAGGAACACCGGUGGCGAAGGCGGGUCUCUGGGCAGUAACUGACGCUGAGGAGCGAAAGCGUGGGGAGCGAACAGG